GGACGGACCGCUGGUGUAUCUGUUGGGAACCAGUCCCAUGGCAGAGUAGCCAAGUCCGGACGGGAUAAACGCUGAAGGCAUCUAAGCGUGAAGCCCCCCUCAAGAUGAGAUAUCCGAAUUGUAAGAUGAAGGUCCCUUGGAGAGUACGAGGUAGAUAGGCCUGGGGUGUAAGCAUAGAGAUAUGUUCAGCUGACAGGUACUAAUAGACCGGAAGCUUGACCA
rnacentral:rRNA from 1 species